GACGUAGGUGGCGAACGUUAUCCGGAAUCAUUGGCGUAAAGGGUGCGUAGAUGGCAUAGUAAGUUAUUGGUGGAAAAUCGAGGCUCAACCUCGUGGAAGCUGGUAAUACUGCUAUGCUAAGAGUUCAGGAGAGGUUAACGGAACUCCAUGUGGAGCGGUAAAAUGUGUAGAUAUAUGGAAGAACACCAAUAACGGCGGAAGG
rnacentral:rRNA from 1 species